GAUUUUAGCUUCAGAUCGUAAAAAUACCUAAAAGAUCACCUACACAUACUAUAUUUUUUGCCCAAGCCUUGACCACCUGAAGUCCUUUUGACAGUAGUGAUGCAGACACCUCCCCAGUUCCUGAACUCAUCUUCAAUGGAGCUAUGUUGGUUUAUAUCAGUUAAAAAUAGUCUGGACCACACUUAAAAGGAGAUAUUGAGCUUUAGCAGGGUGACAGGUGCAGUCUCAUGGUAUAUAGCAAGGAGAGCUGAUAUUAUCAUAUAUCAAUGCCCAAGAGAAGUAAAAAUAGAAUAGGCCACUUCCAUCAGUGUCUGGUCUGAGAAAAGCAUGAGGCUAAAAGAAAAGCAUUGAAUGUCUUUAAUAGCUAUAGAUUAGAGAGUGAAAGUGGAUCUAAAAAUCUUACUUUUUCAAGGAGAUGUUCAAUACUUAUCCAGUGAAGAGAUCACAGACUUUUAAAGGGAUUAAACCAAUGAUUACACUAAAAUGGCACUGCCACUUAGAAAUAGUCUUCUAAAUUACAGAGGUUGAAGGAAGGGCAAUAAGGAGCAAGCAUGAAAAAGGCUAGUGCAAAAGGGCAACAACACUAGGGGAGCUGGGGAGGAGGCUUGUUUUUUUACCAGCAGCAAAGACCACUACACAUAAAGAGUUUGGAAUGAGAUUGACAGCUGGUAAGACAGAGAUACUGUUAGGAGGAUGUUGCAGGCCAAUAUAUAAAUAAAUAAAUAAAUAAAGUGGAAGAACUGUUUGUUCUUGCUCAUAAAGAUAAACUGAAAAUAUCUUGAGUCUCCUGGAAAAUUGUAACAGGGAACACCUGCUUAAUGCUUUUCAGCAGAAGAUACCAGUUCCGUAUAAAGCCCUGCAUGCCACAGUAAGGGCACAUCUGAUGUUACUGUUUGAAACAAUACAUAAAGAAGUUCUGUGUCAGGACACUUGUUUUGGUCCUGGAAGUAUUGGAGGAGUAAUCAGCCCAGGAAGAAAAGUGUGAUGAAACUCUACUUUCUCCUUUGAAUCCUCUCUGGCCAUA
rnacentral:lncRNA from 1 species